rnacentral:misc_RNA from 1 species
GAUGAAGAACGCAGCGAAAUGCGAUAAGUAGUGUGAAUUGUAGAAUUUAGUGAAUCAUUGAAUCUUUGAACGCACAUUGCGCCCCUUGGUAUUCCAUGGGGCAUGCCUGUUCGAGCGUUAUUUGUACCUUCAAGCUCUGCUUGGUGUUGGGUGUUUGUCUCGCCUCUGCGUGUAGACUCGCCUCAAAACAAUUGGUAGCCGGCGUAUUGAUUUCGGAGCGCAGUACAUCUCGCGCUUUGCACUCAUAACGACGACGUCCAAAAGUACAUUUUUACACUCUUGACCUCGGAUCAGGUAGGGAUACCCGCUGAACUUAAGCAUAUCAAUAAGCGGAGGA